rnacentral:rRNA from 1 species
GACGUAGGAUGCGAGCGUUAUUCGGAUUUAUUGGGCGUAAAGCGUGCGUAGGCGGCUAUUUAAGUCUGGUGUUAAAGCUAGGGGCUCAACCCCUGUGAUGCACUGGAUACUGGGUAGCUUGAGUGCGGUAGGGGAAGGUGGAAUUCCGAGUGUAGCGGUGAAAUGCGUAGAUAUUCGGAAGAACACCGGUGGCGAAGGCGACCUUCUGGGCCGCAACUGACGCUGAGGCACGAAAGCCUGGGGAGCGAACGGG